GAUGAAGAACGCAGCGAAAUGCGAUACGUAAUGUGAAUUGCAAAUUCAGUGAAUCAUCGAAUCUUUGAACGCACAUUGCGCCCGCUAGUAUUCUGGCGGGCAUGCCUGUUCGAGCGUCAUUUCAACCAUCAAGCCCUUUAGCUUGUGUUGGGGACCUGCGGCUGCCGCAGCCCCCGAAAUGCAGUGGCGGGCUCGUUGUCACACCGAGUGCAGUAAUCAUUCUUCUCUCCGGGCGUGGCGGCGGGUUCCGGCCGUAAAAUCACCAAUUUAUCAAGGUUGACCUCGGAUCAGGUAGGAAUACCCGCUGAACUUAAGCAUAUCAAUAAGCGGAGGA
rnacentral:misc_RNA from 1 species